rnacentral:rRNA from 1 species
GACGAACGCUGGCGGCGUGCUUAACACAUGCAAGUCGAACGGAAAGGCCCUGCUUUUGUGGGGUGCUCGAGUGGCGAACGGGUGAGUAACACGUGAGUAACCUGCCCUUGACUUUGGGAUAACUUCAGGAAACUGGGGCUAAUACCGGAUAGGAGCUCCUGCUGCAUGGUGGGGGUUGGAAAGUUUCGGCGGUUGGGGAUGGACUCGCGGCUUAUCAGCUUGUUGGUGGGGUAGUGGCUUACCAAGGCUUUGACGGGUAGCCGGCCUGAGAGGGUGACCGGCCACAUUGGGACUGAGAUACGGCCCAGACUCCUACGGGAGGCAGCAGUGGGGAAUAUUGCACAAUGGGCGGAAGCCUGAUGCAGCAACGCCGCGUGCGGGAUGACGGCCUUCGGGUUGUAAACCGCUUUCGCCUGUGACGAAGCGUGAGUGACGGUAAUGGGUAAAGAAGCACCGGCUAACUACGUGCCAGCAGCCGCGGUGAUACGUAGGGUGCGAGCGUUGUCCGGAUUUAUUGGGCGUAAAGGGCUCGUAGGUGGUUGAUCGCGUCGGAAGUGUAAUCUUGGGGCUUAACCCUGAGCGUGCUUUCGAUACGGGUUGACUUGAGGAAGGUAGGGGAGAAUGGAAUUCCUGGUGGAGCGGUGGAAUGCGCAGAUAUCAGGAGGAACACCAGUGGCGAAGGCGGUUCUCUGGGCCUUUCCUGACGCUGAGGAGCGAAAGCGUGGGGAGCGAACAGGCUUAGAUACCCUGGUAGUCCACGCUGUAAACGGUGGGUACUAGGUGUGGGGUCCAUUCCACGGGUUCCGUGCCGUAGCUAACGCUUUAAGUACCCCGCCUGGGGAGUACGGCCGCAAGGCUAAAACUCAAAGGAAUUGGCGGGGCCCCGCACAAGCGGCGGAGCAUGCGGAUUAAUUCGAUGCAACGCGUAGAACCUUACCUGGGUUUGACAUGGAUCGGGAGCGCUCAGAGAUGGGUGUGCCUCUUUUGGGGUCGGUUCACAGGUGGUGCAUGGCUGUCGUCAGCUCGUGUCGUGAGAUGUUGGGUUAAGUCCCGCAACGAGCGCAACCCUUGUUCACUGUUGCCAGCACGUUAUGGUGGGGACUCAGUGGAGACCGCCGGGGUCAACUCGGAGGAAGGUGGGGAUGACGUCAAGUCAUCAUGCCCCUUACGUCCAGGGCUUCACGCAUGCUACAAUGGCUGGUACAGAGAGUGGCGAGCCUGUGAGGGUGAGCGAAUCUCGGAAAGCCGGUCUCAGUUCGGAUUGGGGUCUGCAACUCGACCUCAUGAAGUCGGAGUCGCUAGUAAUCGCAGAUCAGCAACGCUGCGGUGAAUACGUUCCCGGGGCU